rnacentral:rRNA from 1 species
CCUACGGGAGGCAGCAGUGGGGAAUAUUGGACAAUGGGCGAAAGCCUGAUCCAGCAAUUCCGCGUGUGUGAAGAAGGCCUUCGGGUUGUAAAGCACUUUAGUGGGGGAAGAAACAGCUUGGCCACACCAAGCCUUGACGGUACCCCAAGAAUAAGCACCGGCUAACUCUGUGCCAGCAGCCGCGGUAAUACAGAGGGUGCAAGCGUUAAUCGGAUUUACUGGGCGUAAAGGGUGCGUAGGUGGCUAUUUAAGUCGGAUGUGAAAGCCCGGGGCUCAACCUCGGAAUUGCAUUCGAUACUGAGUGGCUAGAGUUCGGUAGAGGGCGGCGGAAUUUCCGGUGUAGCGGUGAAAUGCGUAGAUAUCGGAAGGACAUCAAUGGCGAAGGCAGCCGCCUGGGCCUGGACUGACACUGAGGCACGAAAGCGUGGGUAGCAAACAGGAUUAGAUACCCUGGUAGUCCACGCCGUAAACGAUGAGAACUUGACGUUGGUUCGUUUUACGAAUCGGUGUCGCNGCUACGACGAUAAGUUACUCCGCCGUCGGGUAGGUACGGCCGCGACGGUUAGUAACGUACGAAAGGAAGUUAGACGGCGUGAGACGUGCCGAACGGACGACGACGAGGGAGGUAGG